AGCGGCGCCGUGAAUGCGGGUUUCCGGCAGUCACCUUGCCCAGUCAGCCCAAAGGCUGGGCAAAGUCUUGGUUUUACUGCCACGACACUUCUCCACCCAACGAGAACCCUCUACCGGGCUUCAGGGAGGAUCGCCUACCUAUGGACUUUGAGUUGCCUGAGAAGUUGACUGAAGAGGAAGAAGCCACACUCGUUCCUAUCUUUGGAAAGCUGAGGGCCCUUACCGCCAACGGUCUUACCGGCAUCGACUUGAUUCGCUGUUGGGUAGAAUGGAGGAUUCUGCCCUUAAGCCGCUGGAAUGGUUUGAUGUGUGAGUAUGAUGGCGACUUGAACCACCCCCAAUGCUAUUUCAAUGUGAGGCUCUCAGAAGAAGACAUUUUCAAUAUCAUACUGACGCUAUGUGGCGAGCCUAUUGAAAAUUGCUCCCAAAUUGGGCUCAAACCCUUUUGCAUCGCCAACCUGGCUCCAUAGGUAAACAACUCGGCUCCAAAACAUAAUUCGUUCAUAUGCUCAUCUAUAUUUCUAGUCCUGAACCUUCCACCAUAUUUAAUCAGAGGGAUUCGGCAUUCUGGACCCGGAGAACGAAGACUAUCGUCAAGAAGACAACCAAACCUCCCUCCAAGACGAAGAAGAAGAAGAAGAGCAAAGGCAAAGUUGCAGCCAAAGAGUCAUGUGUCGUUGGCGAGUCUCGUGCAGUUGAAGAGCAGUCAGAGGUAAAAUUCCUCGUUUUUAUUGCUUCAUUUUGACUUGUACAUAUGCUUUACCGCAUGUUGUUUAUAUGAUGAUGACUAUGAGAGCCAGGAUGAAGAUGUCGAGGUAAUUUACGUUUCUUCCGACUCAACUUCUUCCCUCCCCAAGCCGGCCAGGCGAAUUUUUAAGAAAGUUCCCAUGUCUCACCCGGAUGCUCAUCUGGACCCCAAUUUCCUUUUGAAGAAGGCAAGUUACACACAUAAACGCCAUACUCGAAGCCAUUCUGGAGAUCUAGUGUUCGGCUUACGUGAAAGAGCAACUGGUCGAAAACGACAAAGCGAGGUAUGUCUUCAUGAGUAUCUUUUCCUUCUUGUGUAAGAUAUUCUCGCAAUUUAUUCAAUCCUUGAAUUCUUGUUCAUCAGGUUUCACCUCCUUCGUUUGGCGACUCAGCAAUGUCGACUCUCCCCCGAUGAUUCGUGUUCAGGGGUAAGUUUCUUUACUAACACAUUCUUUCAAUCAUCAAUGUCCUUUGUUCCAACAUUGGUACCUUUGUUUCUCACAGCACAAGCAAAGAAGAGGAAGACACGCGACUCAUCUUCAGCCCCCAAAGUGGCUGAAAUGUCUGGUAAAGGUGCCUCCAUCCUAGAGGCUUCAGAAGAUCCAGCUGAACUCCAAGGCGAUACAUUUGAUGAUAUUCCUGAUAUCCGGGUUGAGCCUUCAAGCCCUCAAAAGGAGGAAAUUGAAAACGUUAACCCGCCCAAUCCAGCUAAGACGCCUGAAGAUCCAGAUGCAGUCAUUGUUACUAGUACUGGUUACUCUAAGCCUGCAACUAUGGUGUUAACCAGGCAUACGCCAAAAGAUGCCCAAACAUUUGCAGAGAAGGAUAUCACCAAACUGAAGCUUCCUCAUUAUGAGAAAUUGGAGUUUGAAGAAUUAUACUCCGGUUUUGUGAGCCGCUUGGAAGCAAGCCAAGAGAUGGAGAAAAGCCUGGCCAACUUGAUGCGAGUCAAAUAUGAGGUAUGACAUUUUUAUUUUUGUGAAUAUAUCCUCCCAUUAGCACUCGAAAAGGGCGGGUCAUCCAUGAUGAAUCGUACUUUUGCAUCAUUUCAGCAAUGUGUAGCCCCCAAGGGUCGGGUCAUCUUUUGAAAGAUGAGUCGGGACUUUGAAUAUAAAAUUUUCUUCAACCUCUAGCCCCCAAGGGCCGGGUCAUCUUUUGAAAGAUGAGCCGUGUCUUUGAAUAUAAAAUUUCUUCAACCUGUAGCCCCCAAGGGCCGGGUCAUCUUUUGAAAGAUGAGUCGGGUCUUUUGAAUUAAAAGUUCUUCAACCUGUAGCCCCCAAGGGCCGGGUCAUCUUUUCAAAGAUGAGUUGGGUAUUUUGAAUAUAAAAUUUCUUCAACCUGUAGCCCCCAAGGGUCGGGUCAUCUUUUGAAAAAUGAGCCGGGUCUUUUGAAUAUAAAAGUUCUUCAACCUGUAGCCCCCAAGGGUCGGGUCAUCUUUUGAAAGAUGAGCUGGGUCUUUUGAAUAUAAAAGUUCUUCAACCCGUAGCCUCCAAGGGCCGGGUCAUCUUUUGAAAGAUGAGUCAGGUCUUGAAUGAAGGUAUGACUUGAAAAGAAUCAUACAUUAGCCCCCAAGUGUCAGGGAUGUUGCUUGCAAUGGUCCUGAAACUUGCUUUCCCAAAUUUUGUUUGCAGGAAUCCUUGACUCGGGCCGACUCAAUCUUGGCCAGUUUAAAAGAAAGCCUAGCCGAACAGCAAGAUGCUCGAGCUAAGUCUGAAGAGAAAUUUCGCCUGGCCCUUGGUGACAUGGAGAAGAUGAAAGGUGAACACCAAAAGUUUGAAAAGAAAGCCCAUGCUGAACAAGCCGCCAUCUUGAAGCGGGCGGAACAAGCUGAAGAAAAGCUAGAAGCCGCUCUUCAAGAACUCUCUGGCUUAAAACAUCAUAUCUCCAACAUGACCCAAGCUAUCUUUGGUAAGGAUCAAUUCCCUUCAUCUGAAAAGAGCUGCAAAGCAUAUUGCAAAUGCUAAUUGUCUCAUUCUGUCCUUCGUAGGUCUGCGAGCCGCCACCCUGUAGAAUGACUGCAUUCUGAAGCUGAAGGCGAUUUAUACUUUCACAGAGCAGUUAUACACGGGAGGCAUGAUGAGAAUGAAGGCCGUGAUGGGCAACAGGGAGCCCAUAAAAUCCAUCAAGCACGUGUUGGGUUGCCUGUCAACAUUGCCGCCUCAGAUAGAAGAAUUAAAAAGGUCAGCCGCUCGUAAAGGAGCACUGACCACCCUAAGCUGGUGUCUGGCCUAUGCUCAUGAACUUAAGCCGGAGGAAGUAGCUGCUGGCUUUCCAGAGUUAAAAGAUGAUGCGUCAGAGUUCACCGAGGAGGACUACCAUCGUUGCAUGAAAGAGUCUCGCUCCGCGGCGACUCAACUAGAAUCCAACAUGGACUUAGGCAAAUACCAGGCGGCUUAUGAUGAAAGCAAAAAAAUGGUGACUCCUCCUUCAUAUGAAAGCACCAGCCUGACUCCACGACGCCGUAAGAAUCCCUUUGACUUUGACAUUGAUCUGUCCGCCAUCUUGAGUGAUGAAGACGAGUUUGUCGCCUUGACCAAUUGCAAUUGGAAACUGGGCGACUUACAAAUUGAAGAUGGCGAAAGCUCGAAGCAGGGUGACCCGGAGGCGGCUUGAACUGACUUAGCAUGAAAUUGAUUCUCCAAGAAUGUUUUGAUCUCUUUCUCACCAGGAUAUGAUUCUCGGAUGGCCUAGUGAGCCAUGUAAUAGUUUUAAGAUUCAGGCAAACAGUAUGACAACCGUACCUUAUGAUUUAUGUUUGGAAGUUUCAACCUUCAUUAAUAUGAAUCGCCUUUCCCAAAGCUUUGUCACAUUUUGACAAAAAUGUUCGUCGACGUGCUUAUUAGAGGAAACACAAUAAGAUGGCUCAAUGAGUCGCAGCAGGUACGGAGCAACCUCAGUGAGUCGCGGCGAGUUAUAAACAAGAAGCCGACUCAGUGAGUCGCGGCAUGUAAUAAAUAAGAAGCCGGCUCAGUGAGUCGCGGCGGGUUAUAAAACUUUUUAUGAAACCUUGUGGCAAUGCCACAAAGAUAGUCAUAAAAUUCGUCGGCUCGAUGAGUUGCGACAGGAUAGGACGAGUUUGCAAGACUCUAGUGCUACCCCAAGAAGGCUUUUGCAACAGCCCUAGUUGUUUGGACCGGCUGAUCAGGCGCGAGUCAGGCUUCAGUGAAGCAGGUUUAGUGAACCUAUGGUUUGUCUAUUUUCCAUGUGUUGACUCUCGCUAGUACCUUUCAUGUUUUAACCAAGGCAAGUUCAGGGUCCAAAAGCGGAUUGACUUGCCAAGAGUACAUGGGACCAUAGGGCGAUUUGUCAAACACACAGUUUAGUAUAACCAUUUGUAACGCGUUAAUUUUUCACUAGCCAAGAGGGUAUUCAGGCUGAACUCAGUGAGUGGAAGCCCCCAAGUGACCUAUGAUUAGGGAAAAGCCAGACAUAGGAUUGUAGAAGCGUAUACGCUCUUACUGCAAAACGACUUGGGAGCUAGUAGCCCCCAAGUAAGCCGGCUUAAUCCUCAAAACCAUAUAAGGUGCCCAUGUUUGAACCAUGCAGCAUGGCAACUUUGGUCCACUUUGGCGUAUCAACAUCCAGUUUUGAAAUAAGCGCAACGUGGCGACUUAUGCUCUUUGAUGCUGAUAGCGUCCAUGCUUGGACGUCUUAUAGAACAAUAAAGAGUCAUGCUUUCAAGAAGCUGAAAUGGCAAAAGAUCCCGGAGUUUGUGGGCGCCGGCUUUAUUGAUUUAUAAAUAAAAGAUUACAAAUUCGAAAUUGUAAACAUAAGUAAGGAGCCAGUGGCUCUAAGUGUAGUAUGGUUGCAAGUGGGCGAUGUUCCAUGGGCGGGUUGUCUCAACCUCUGUUGUUGGCCUAUCCGGGCGAAGAUCCACCAAGUAAUAUAAACCAUUAUGGAGAUUCUUGCUGAUAACAAAAGGUCCUUCCCAUGGAGGGGAUAACUUAUGCAUACUAGUAUGAUCUUGAAUCAGUCGGAGGACUAAGUCGCCCUCUUGAAAAGCUCGGCUCUUGACUCGACGGUUGUGAUAACGUUGCAAGUCUUGUUGAUAAAUCGUCGAGCAUGAUGCAGCCAAAUCACGCUCCUCCUCCAAGGCGUCCAACGAAUCUUGAUGUGCUAACUCGUUGUCUUAUUCCACAUAGGCGGUGACCCAUGGUGAAUCAUGUCUGAUAUCACUUGGUAAUACUGCCUCUGCCCCGUAGACCAGGAAAAAGGGCGUGAAACGAGUAGAUCGAUUUGGGGUGGUUCUGAUGCUCCAUAAAUUUGAAGGCAAAUCUUCAACCCAACAUCCCGUGGUACGUUCCAGAGGUACCAUAAGACGGGGCUUGAUUCCUCGCAAUAUUUCUUGAUUCGCCCUUUCAGCCUGUCCAUUGGACUAGGGAUGUGCAACUGCAGAAACGUCAAGCCGGAUGUGCUCCUUGGCGCAAAACUCUUGCAUGUCUCCCUUUGACAAGUUAGUACCAUUGUCAGUGAUGAUACUGUGAGGAUACCCAAAUCGGAAAAUCAACUUCUUCAGGAACUUGACGGUCGUGUCUGCAUCACAGCUGCUAACUGGCUCUGCUUCAACCCACUUGGUAAACUUGUCAACCGCCACCAGUAGGUGAGUACUUUUAUUGGACGGCAUCCGAAAAGUACCAACCAUGUCCAGCCCCCGGACCGCAAACGGCCAUGUGAUUGGGAUCAUCCGUAAUUCCUGAGCUGGUACAUGCAUCCGACGUCCAAAUUUUUGGCAGCCGUCACAUCGUCGAACUAUAUCCUCAGCAUCUGCAUGAGCUGUAAACCAGUAAAACCCAUGCCUAAAGGCUUUGGAUACCAGAGAGCGUGACCCGGCGUGAUGACCACAUUCGCCCGCAUGAAUCUCAUUAAGAAUCGCACACCCUUAGAAGAGACACACCUUUGAAAAACUCCAGAAGUGCUUCGCCUGUGUAACUUGCCUUUAUGUAUGAUCAUGGAUUUGCAACGGCGGACGAUUUGGCGGGCAAACAACUCAUCGGUAGGGAACUUGCCUUGCGUGAGAUACGCCAUGUAGGGGACUACCCAAUUCGGGUAGCACGGAGAGCCGCCACAAGUUGAGACUCGGGAUCAGGAACUACCAAGUCUUCCUCUGAAGGUAACUUCACUGAUGGGUUAUGCAAUAUAUCCAAAAACACGUUGGGAGGAACCGGCUUACACUAUGAGCCAAGUCGUGGGAGAGCAUCUACUACCUCGUUAAGCCGCCGAUCAAUGUGAUCAACCUCAUAACCAUGGAAAUGUCCCGCCACGUCUGACACAGCACGCCUGUAAGCCGCCAUCAGAGGAUCUCUAGAGUCCCAUGUGCCAGAAACUUGUUGUGCCACUAGAUCUGAGUCGCCCAAACAACUGACCUGACUGAGGUUCAUCUCUUUGGCGAUUCUCAACCCAUGAAGCAAGGCUUCAUACUCCGAUGCAUUGUUGGUACACGGGAACAUUAGUCUAAGGACAUAUCAAAACUUGUCUCCCUGAGGUGAAGUCAAUACCACGCCAGCCCCCGAGCCUUCCAACUGUCUAGACCUGUCAAAAUGGAUUGUCCAAUAUGUGUGAUCAGGUCUGUCUUCCGGAAUUUGUAACUCGGUCCAAUCGUUGAUGAAGUCCACCAAAGCUUGGGAUUUAAUAGCCGCGCGGGGGGUGUAUUUCACGUGAUGGGGACCAAGCUCGAUGGGCCACUUAGCAAGCCGCCCAGUAACCUCUCUGUUCUGUAUAAUAUCACCAAGUGGGGCAGAACUGACCACUGUGAUAGGGUGCUCUUGAAAGUAAUCUUUCAGCUUCCGGCUUGCCAUGAACACUCCAAAAACCAGCUUCUGGCAAUGCGGAUAACGCUGUUUGGAGAGGGUUAGGACUUCGCUGACAAAGUAGAUCGGUCGUUGAACCGUGUAUUCCUUCCCCUCUUCCUUGCGCUCGACGACCACUACAACGCUUACCGCUUUAGAGUUGGCAGCAAUGUACAGGAGCAUAGGCUCUUUGUUGGUCGGGGCAGCCAAGACGGGCGGCUUAGCCAACUGUUUUUUCACGGCCUCAAAGGCUUCAUUGGCUUCAUCCAUCCAAACAAAGCGAUCAGUUUUCUUGAGUAGAUGAUAAAGAGGGAUGGCUUUCUCCCCGAGAUGGCUUAUGAAAUGACUUAGGGCUGCAAUACGACCCGCCAUGCGCUAAACUUGGUUGAUAUUGGCCGGCUUGCUAAGAGAAGUAAUUGCUUCAAUUUUAUCCGCGUUAGCUUCGAUGCCUCUCUCUGAGACCAAGAAACCCAAGAGCUUUCCUGCAGGAACACCUAAAACACACUUGGUAGGGUUGAGCCUCAUCUUGUACACACGCAAAUUGUCAAAAGUCUCCUUAAGGUCUUCCAGAAGUGAUUCUUUCUUCUGGGAUUUGACCACUAUGUCGUCCACGUAAGCAUGGACAUUACGCCCAAUUUGGUUGUGCAAGCAAUUCUGGAUGCAGCGCUGAUAAGUCGCCCCGACACUCUUGAGCCCGAACGGCAUAGACACAUAACAGAAAGCCCCAAAGGGGGUUAUAAAUGAUGUUUUCUCCUGAUCCGCCAAAGCCAUCUUGAUCUGGUGGUACCCUGAAUAAGCGUCCACGAAACAUAGCCGUUCGCAACCCAUAGUAGAAUCAAUGAUUUGAUCGAUGCGAGGGAGAGAAAAAGGGUCCUUUUGGCAGGCCCUGUUGAGGUCAGUGUAGUCGAUACACAUGCAGGAAGUGUCGUUCUUCUUAAGCACUAGAACCGGGUUAGCCAACCAUUCGGGGUGGAAGACUUCAACGAUGAAUCCAACGGCCAAGAGUCGGGCGACUUCCUCCCCAAUCACUUUACGCCGUUCUUCACUGAAACGGCGAAGAUACUGUUGAACCGGCUUUAUCUUAGGAUCAAUGUUAAGGUGGUGCUCAGCGAAUUCCCUCGAUACACCUGGCAUGUCAGAAGGUUUCCGUGCGAAGAUGUCCCGAUUCUCAUGGAUGAAUUCCAUGAGAACACAUUCCUAUUUGGGGUCCAGACCCGUCCCAAUGGUGAAUUGUUUGGAUGAGUCACCAGGCGUGAAGUCUACCACCUUCGUGUCAUCUGUUGGUUUGAAUUUGAGGGCGACUCUAAAUCGACUGUAGGUCUCUUGAGCGGCGUCAUAUAUGUCGGGUCAAUAUUAGCUUUAUGAAACUUGAGUUCCUCAGCCGCGCAGGCUGACUCGGCAUAAGUUGCGUCUCCUUCCUCGCAUUCUUGAGCUAUUCUCCUGUCUCCAUUGACUGUGAUGGUUCCUUUAGGGCCCGGUAUUUUGAGCUUGAGAUAGAUGUAGCAUGGGCGGGCCAUGAAGCGAGCAUAAGCCGGCCUUCCAAACAGGGUGGGAUAAGGGCUUUUGAUCUUGACCACCUCAAACAUGAGGGACUCAUUCCUGUAGUUAGAUUACGUGCCAGAAGCUACAUGAAGCUUGAUCCGCCCAACAGGGUACGCCGACUUGCCCGGAACAAUGCCGUGAAAAACCGUUGAGGAGGGCAUCAAAUCGCUUUCCGAGAAAUUCAUCCGUCGGAAGGUAUCGAAAUAUAAGAUGUGCAUGCUGCUACCGCCAUCCAUAAGAACUUUGGACAAUGUAUAUCUCCCGACCUAGGGCGCCACAACCAAAGCCAAGUCGCUAGGAUUAUCGACCCGCGGCGGGUGAUCCUCCCUACUCCAAACAAUGGGUUGCUCCGACCAAUUGAGGUACCUGAGGAGUGCCGACUCAAUCACGCUGACGGCCCUGCGUCUCACCUUCUGGUCCCGCUUGCAAGUGCUGGUGGUGAACACAUGAUAUUGCCCGUUGUUUAACUGUUUGGGGUUAUUUUGGAAACCGCCAUUGUCAUCCUGCGGCUGGGAACCGUUACGAGGAGGUGGCUGUUGGAAAACACCUUGCGUGUUGUGUUGCGGAUUGCUUCGAGCCGGAUGCUGCCCAAGGUUAGGCUGUGACCCGCCCUGCGGGCCCGGGUUAGGGAAUCCGCCAAACGGAUUUCUAUGUGGCCCAGCCGUGCCAAAGCGGUCCUGUUAGCCACCAUGGUUGCCUCCUUGUCCCCUUUUGAGUGUUUCGGCGCAAAACUCCUGCAUCACAUAACAGUCUUCCCAAGAGUGGGUAGACAGGUCGUCUGCGGUGGCGUGUUGCGGGCAAGGGCCCUUGAGCAUCUCAUAAUAGUUGUGUGGUUUCUUCCCGCUGAAACCCCGUUUCGGUUGACGCUGGUUUCUGUUGCCAACGCUAGUAUUAGCAACGAAAUCGAUGGCGCCUUCUUGUUGCCUUCUUUUGACCUGACCGGCGGGGUGGUGGUAGCCUCGUCCCUGGAAUUGGGAAUGGCCUCGUGACAACUCGCCUCUCCUGGUGGUGCUGACCUUGUCGUCAUCCUCCUCGAGGUCUUUAGUGUUGUCUGCCUCGGCGUACCUAGUCAGGGUGUCCAUCAAUUCUCCCAUGUCCUGCACCUUACGCUUGAGCCGCCCAAGUUUUAGCACAAAGGGCUCGUAGUGACAGUUUUUCUCCAAGAUCAACACGGCCUGAGCCGCCGAGAUGACUUCUGACGAAUGGACCACCUCCGCAACUCGCCGUGUCCAAUGAUGGGCCGACUCGUCCGGGCGUUGGACAUAGUGCUGUAAGUCGACGAUGGUCAUUGGUCGCUUGCAGGUUCCUUUGAAGUUUUUAACAAAGUGUUCCUUUAACUCGGCCCAGGUGUUGAUGGAGUUGGGAGGCAGGCUCUUCAACCAUGUGCGUGUUGUCCCUUCAAGCAUCAUGGUGAAGUACUUAGCGCAGGCCGCCUCGUUUACAUUGAGCAUAUCCAUUGCCAGCUCGUAGCUCUCAACCGAUGCACCCGGCUCUAGGUCAGGCGUAUAAUUGGGUACCUUUCGUGGGCCUUUGAAAUCCUUUGGCAUACACUCGUUGCGGUUGGCAGGUGCCAGGCAGGGCACCCCGACAUGCCUGCCACCGNNNNNNNNNNNNNNNNNNNNNNNNNNNNNNNNNNNNNNNNNNNNNNNNNNNNNNNNNNNNNNNNNNNNNNNNNNNNNNNNNNNNNNNNNNNNNNNNNNNNUUUAUUUUUUAUACAUUUUGAAAACAUCAUUGGCACACGAUUUCCACUGAUUUUUCAUGUGACAUUCCUUCCUCCCCGCUCCCGGAGCCACGAGCCGACCUCUCUCCGAGUUCGCUUCCUCGAAGCUUUCCAGCCCACGCCCGCUCCACCCGUUGCGCCGACACCUCCGGCCCGGUCGGUGUCCCCACCGGCCAAACGCCACGCUUCCCGCGGAGACCCCGCGUGGGCCCCGCCCCCCACGACCCCACCACCUCCCCCUCCACCUGGCCGCGCGCCGCGCGCGUAUUAAACGGCCUCCUCCUCCGCCUCGCUCCUCUCGCACCAACACCACAGACCACCACCGCAGCACGCAGCACGCACCACGCGCCCUCCCGCCCCGUGAUCGCCGCCGUCUCGCCGCUGCGCCGACCCCUCCACCGGCAUUCGAUUCGGAGCCCAGCCCGUCCGGCGGCGCGGAGGUACGUGAGAUCCCGGCCGCCCCGUUGCGAGAUCUGGCGUUGCUGCUCGCGCGCUGGCCUGCUGUCCUUGUUAUCACCUGGAGUGCGUCUCGAAUGUUGUCCCGUGGCGGGUUUUCGGGCGGGGUGUAGUCCCCGUGAUCCGGGGGUUGAGGGAAGGGAUUCCAUAUCUCAGCCCAAAUGGUCGGGCCUGGCGGCAGCUCGGGAUGCAGAUCUGACGAGGUGGGGUCCUAGGGUUGCGCGCCUGGAGCUGGAUCUAGCGAUCAUUGCACUGGGAGUUUAGAGGGGUGGGUGAUCCAUGUUGUUCGAAUCAAAAAAGAAAAAGAAAUGGUAUUAGGGGCGGGUGAUCGGGCUGUUCUGAUCUUUCUUUAUGUUAGCUGUAUAUAUAUGUAAGCGGCGGGAAAUCAAGGGAGAUCUUAGUUUAAAUCGGGUUAUAAUUAUGAUCCUUAUGUUUGUCUAGCUCAUUGGAAACGGACCCUGUGUUUGUAAGCAUAACAGCGAAUAUGCCUUGGCUAGGUGGAAGGAGAAGGAAGAUCCUUUUCUAGAACAGUGUGUGAUCCUGCCUUUGUAUCUUUUCUGAUUGAUGCUAGGCAUGGAUCUCGAGUAAUCUUCCGGUGAUGAGCCAAGAAACUNNNNNNNNNNNNNNNNNNNNNNNNNNNNNNNNNNNNNNNNNNNNNNNNNNNNNNNNNNNNNNNNNNNNNNNNNNNNNNNNNNNNNNNNNNNNNNNNNNNNCGUAUUAAACGGCCUCCUCCUCCGCCUCGCUCCUCUCGCACCAACACCACAGACCACCACCGCAGCACGCAGCACGCACCACGCGCCCUCCCGCCCCGUGAUCGCCGCCGUCUCGCCGCUGCGCCGACCCCUCCACCGGCAUUCGAUUCGGAGCCCAGCCCGUCCGGCGGCGCGGAGGUACGUGAGAUCCCGGCCGCCCCGUUGCGAGAUCUGGCGUUGCUGCUCGCGCGCUGGCCUGCUGUCCUUGUUAUCACCUGGAGUGCGUCUCGAAUGUUGUCCCGUGGCGGGUUUUCGGGCGGGGUGUAGUCCCCGUGAUCCGGGGGUUGAGGGAAGGGAUUCCAUAUCUCAGCCCAAAUGGUCGGGCCUGGCGGCAGCUCGGGAUGCAGAUCUGACGAGGUGGGGUCCUAGGGUUGCGCGCCUGGAGCUGGAUCUAGCGAUCAUUGCACUGGGAGUUUAGAGGGGUGGGUGAUCCAUGUUGUUCGAAUCAAAAAAGAAAAAGAAAAAGAAAUGGUAUUAGGGGCGGGUGAUCGGGCUGUUCUGAUCUUUCUUUAUGUUAGCUGUAUAUAUAUGUAAGCGGCGGGAAAUCAAGGGAGAUCUUAGUUUAAAUCGGGUUAUAAUUAUGAUCCUUAUGUUUGUCUAGCUCAUUGGAAACGGACCCUGUGUUUGUAAGCAUAACAGCGAAUAUGCCUUGGCUAGGUGGAAGGAGAAGGAAGAUCCUUUUCUAGAACAGUGUGUGAUCCUGCCUUUGUAUCUUUUCUGAUUGAUGCUAGGCAUGGAUCUCGAGUAAUCUUCCGGUGAUGAGCCAAGAAACUNNNNN
rnacentral:lncRNA from 1 species